rnacentral:rRNA from 1 species
AUGAACGCUGGCGGCGUGCCUAAUACAUGCAGGUCGAGCGAACGGACGAGAAGCUUGCUUCUCUGAUGUUAGCGGCGGACGGGUGAGUAACACGUGGAUAACCUACCUAUAAGACUGGGAUAACUUCGGGAAACCGGAGCUAAUACCGGAUAAUAUUUUGAAUCGCAUGGUUCAAAAGUGAAAGACGGUCUUGCUGUCACUUAUAGAUGGAUCCGCGCUGCAUUAGCUAGUUGGUAAGGUAACGGCUUACCAAGGCAACGAUGCAUAGCCGACCUGAGAGGGUGAUCGGCCACACUGGAACUGAGACACGGUCCAGACUCCUACGGGAGGCAGCAGUAGGGAAUCUUCCGCAAUGGGCGAAAGCCUGACGGAGCAACGCCGCGUGAGUGAUGAAGGUCUUCGGAUCGUAAAACUCUGUUAUUAGGGAAGAACAUAUGUGUAAGUAACUGUGCACAUCUUGACGGUACCUAAUCAGAAAGCCACGGCUAACUACGUG